UUUUCUGGUGCAGCAAACCUGGGCUCGACGUCAAGGGUUCCCGGCCACUGAACUCGAACUUCAAAACUUCAAAUUAGGGCCAAAAUCAGAAAAGAAGGUUGCCAAUUUUGAAAUCCCUCUUUUUUUGGGGGAGUUUUCUUUCUCAUAAAUUUCUUUCUUACAAGAUCGAAAAUUUCUAUCACAAUUUUAUGCUUUUCUUUUCAAUUUUUUCACUCGUUCCCUUUUCCAGAUCUUGAACCUUAUUUCUCUUAUUUUUUUAUUUUGCUUUGAAAAUUCAGCCUAUUUUUGUUAAUUUUCGACCUUCUAAUUAUAGGUGCGGAUCCGAAUUUCAAAAUUUAGAUUCAAAACCAAUAUCUUAAUGGAAACCAACGUUGGAUAAAGAUGACGAAAUUAGAUUCAAACCUUUGAAAGGGACGAUUCAUCUCUUGAUUUGGGCGAAUCACAGGUCUUUAAAGCGGAUUUGAAACUUAUUUUUAUUGUUAUAUGGAUUUGGGACUGAUUUUCUGUUCUUGAAAAGAUUUAUGGGCUGGAGGGGCUGA
rnacentral:lncRNA from 1 species